UAAUAUCUAGUGUUAAAGGCACAUUUCAUUUUGAUUGAAAAGGGAGUAGAUCGAAUCUGCUGGUAUUAA
rnacentral:tRNA from 1 species